UGCAGUGGAGCCGGUGGCAAAAUUUUAACUUUGCUGGGGUCAGGACUGCAUCCUCCAGUUCAUUUUCUCUCAACCAAUUCAGGUCCUUCUAGUACAGUUACUUCACUGUUAGGGACUUGAGCAAGAGGACUCAACUCCUUUAGCACUUCAGCAGGAACAAUGAUGAACAGUUAUGUAUAAAGAGAGCAUCCUAAAGAAAGUAAAGAAAAGACAUCUUGCCAUGCUGAAGUACACUUGACAGGAUGUUUGGACUGCAAUGAAUUCAUCUUCACAGUAGAUAAAAAGUAAAGGAUGGAUCCUCUGAUGUAACCCCUGGGGUGCUUGGUAAAGCAGUGCUACAGGCUGCAUCUUCUACUCACUCCUUACCUACCAGGGAGAAGACACACUGCUCCUAAAUCCUGCCUGCUCAACACAGGAGGUAUUGGGGAAGGGAGAUUUCUGUAAUAGUGAUUAAGUUUCUCCAUCCA